rnacentral:rRNA from 1 species
CAGUCGCCGCGGGAAUACGAAGGGUGCAAGCGUUAAUCGGAAUUACUGGGCGUAAAGCGUGCGUAGGCGGUGAGUUAAGUCUGCUGUGAAAUCCCCGGGCUCAACCUGGGAAUGGCAGUGGAUACUGGCUCGCUAGAGUGUGUCAGAGGAUGGUGGAAUUCCCGGUGUAGCGGUGAAAUGCGUAGAGAUCGGAAGGAACACCUGUGGCGAAAGCGGCUCACUGGACCAUUUCUGACGCUGAUGCACGAAAGCUAGGGGAGCAAACAGGAUUAGAGACCCCGGUAGUCCCUGUCUCUUAUAC